rnacentral:rRNA from 1 species
GCACAAGCGGUGGAGCAUGUGGUUAAUUCGAAGCAACGCGAAGAACCUUACCAGGUCUUGACAUCCCUGACAACCCGAGAGAUCGGGCGUUCCCCUUCGGGGGACAGGGUGACAGGUGGUGCAUGGUUGUCGUCAGCUCGUGUCGUGAGAUGUUGGGUUAAGUCCCGCAACGAGCGCAACCCUCGCCUCUAGUUGCCAGCAUUCGGUUGGGCACUCUAGAGGGACUGCCGGCGACAAGUCGGAGGAAGUGGGAUGACGUCAAAUCAUCAUGCCCCUUAUGACCUGGGCUACACACGUGCUACAAUGGGCGGUACAAAGGGCUGCGAACCCGCGAGGGGGAGCGAAUCCCAAAAAGCCGCUCUCAGUUCGGAUUGCAGGCUGCAACUCGCCUGCAUGAAGCCGGAAUCGCUAGUAAUCGCGGAUCAGCAUGCCGCGGUGAAUACGUUCCCGGGCCUU